GAGGGUAUAGCUCAGCGGUAGAGCACGUGCUUAAAACAUACACAAGAUCCUGGGUUCAAUCCCCAGUGCCUCCA
rnacentral:tRNA from 1 species